UGCCCACUGCCCCUUCCACCCAGUGAUUCUCACCCGAGGGUGCAUGACCCCCAAGGUGGCCUAUCAUAUCAUCUUUGGGGGUUUUUUUUUUUUGUUUUUUUUUUGGUUUUUGUUUGGAGCAGAGCACUGCUCCCGCCCCCCCAGAUGUUCUGAUAGGCCUCCCUUGGGGUCCAUGCCCACAUCCCCCCCUCGGGUGAAAUCACCCCCCCCACCCCCGGGGAGAAUCACUGCUGUGGAAGCCCAACCUGACCCCUGAGCUGCACCCCGCCUCCCCUUGCGCCUCUAGCCUCCUACUGGCUGCCAUUGACACAUUUCCUCGAAGAUCCCAGCGUUGGCCCAACUGCCAAUGGCCCAGUGCUGCCCUCUUGAAACCACCACAUUCCCUUCCAUAUUUGCUCUUUGACACUCAACAUGCCCCUAACCCCAGUCUGCAGCAGAACAUUGUUCUUUGCACACACAUUCCAUCCUGAUACCUCUCCUGACCCCCAAUCCUUGAUGAUUCUCAGAAGUUAUGACAAUAUCUUUGGUCCCAAUCCGGUCCUUUCCAGCACUUUCCCUAAGUUACCCUCCUCAUCAGAUCCAUGACACAGUCUUCCUGCAGACUUGCCCCUGUGGUCCUCACGCCCCUCUGUUGCCCACCAACCAGACCUUUCCCUUCCCCCUUUUCCGCCAAUACCCUCCUGUGUCCUCUCCGGGAGGAGUCACUGGUCUUUCGUCAACCUGCAGUCAUCACUCAACACUGGACGUGGAAUCAGUCCACAAGCUCAGUUAGAGAAGAUGGUUUUUUCAGUACGUGGGGCUUGGCUGAAGUCCCCCAAUCCCAUCCAAAAGCCCAUCAGUGCCAACGCUGCUUUCCUGUCCAUCCCUGUCAAACCAGACCUGACCCCCAACUUGACACUUGUACCGCUGGAUCGUAGUAAAGAGCCUGGAUGCAAAGUUCUACCCUUGCCAUAAAUUUCAAGGCCACCAGAACAGCCACGGCUGUACACCCACUGCUCGCCAUCCCUUUUCCAAUCUUC